UUUCCGUAGGUGAACCUGCGGAAGGAUCAUUAAAGAGUAAGAGGCUCUGGGCGCGAGCUCCAACCCUUUGUUUAACUACCCUGUUGCUUUGGCGGGCGCGUCUCACCCCCGCCGGAAGUCUGGCUUCGACCACACUUCUGGCCCGUGCCCGUCAGUGACCCCUAUAAAUACUUGAUCAAAUAUGUUGUCUUAGUUAAAAACUUAAUAGUUAAAACUUUCAACAACGGAUCUCUUGGUUCUG
rnacentral:misc_RNA from 1 species